AUUAUUGGGCGUAAAGAGCUCGUAGGCGGUUUGUCGCGUCUGCCGUGAAAGUCCGGGGCUUAACCCCGGAUCUGCGGUGGGUACGGGCAGACUAGAGUGCAGUAGGGGAGACUGGAAUUCCUGGUGUAGCGGUGAAAUGCGCAGAUAUCAGGAGGAACACCGAUGGCGAAGGCAGGUCUCUGGGCUGUAACUGACGCUGAGGAGCGAAAGCAUGGGGAGCGAACAGGAUUAGAUACCCUGGUAGUCCAUGCCGUAAACGUUGGGCACUAGGUGUGGGGGACAUUCCACGUUUUCCGCGCCGUAGCUAACGCAUUAAGUGCCCCGCCUGGGGAGUACGGCCGCAAGGCUAAAACUCAAAGGAAUUGACGGGGGCCCGCACAAGCGGCGGAGCAUGCGGAUUAAUUCGAUGCAACGCGAAGAACCUUACCAAGGCUUGACAUGAACCGGAAUGAUGCAGAGAUGUGUCAGCCACUUGUGGCCGGUUUACAGGUGGUGCAUGGUUGUCGUCAGCUCGUGUCGUGAGAUGUUGGGUUAAGUCCCGCAACGAGCGCAACCCUCGUUCCAUGUUGCCAGCGGGUUAUGCCGGGGACUCAUGGGAGACUGCCGGGGUCAACUCGGAGGAAGGUGGGGACGACGUCAAAUCAUCAUGCCCCUUAUGUCUUGGGCUUCACGCAUGCUACAAUGGCCGGUACAAAGGGUUGCGAUACUGUGAGGUGGAGCUAAUCCCAAAAAGCCGGUCUCAGUUCGGAUUGAGGUCUGCAACUCGACCUCAUGAAGUUGGAGUCGCUAGUAAUCGCAGAUCAGCAACGCUGCGGUGAAUACGUUCCCGGGCCUUGUACACACCGCCCGUCAAGUCACGAAAGUUGGUAACACCCGAAGCCGGUGGCCUAACCCCUUGGGGAGGGAGCCU
rnacentral:rRNA from 1 species